rnacentral:lncRNA from 1 species
AAGCUCCCAUUGACUUCAACGGAGCCAGAAUUUAACCCUUCAUGUUUUAUUUGAAACCCCAGGUCCGGCAGACAAAUGAUUAUUCAAGAAUUUCAGCUUUCAUUUUAAAAAUGUAAGUUUCUAACCUUCAUGAUUGCACAGAAAAGCAUGAAAACAGGACCCAAUAACUUGUGAGGUUUGAAAAACAGAAAGUAAAAGAACCCUAUAUUUAUUUGAAAAUCUCAUGAUUUGUAAGCCAAUCUCAUGGUUAUGGGAGCCUGACAUGAUUUUUCCUGAUGUUUGAUAAUUUUUUAAUUUGGAUUUGAGAAGAUGUUCAAGCAAUGAGAAGAUGUCCCAGUUACACAUGGAAACAGUGAAGGGGAAAUGGGCUUUGUUCUGCUUGCUGACAUUGCUUGUGGAUCAGGCAGGAUUACAUGAGUAACACACUGAAUAUGAAUUAUACAUCCCUGAAGUCCUCAGUUUGUGCCUAUCCAGAAAAGUAAUCAUGUGUCAAGCCCCUCAAGAUACCAUAAGAGAGGCAAAAUCCAACCAGCCAGCCAGCAUGGAAAAUGGGGGCUUUACCAACGUCUAUGAAAAUGUAGAGAACACUGGCCUUUAUGAGAUUCCUGAUUCAGAGGAGGCAAAAGAGGAGAUUCCUGAUUCAGAGGAGGCAAAAGAGGAGAUUCCUGAUUCAGAGGAGGCAAAAGAGGAGAUUCCUGAUUCAGAGGAGGCAAAAGAGGAUCAUCUUUAUGAGGAAGUCCAUGAAGACCCAACAUCUCCUUCUUCCACCACCACUCCAGAAAGCAUGGACAUCAGCCGCAGUAAUUCUGUGUCAUCUCAGCAAGGAGCUGAUGGGGAGGAUGGUUCAGCUUCCUCUCAGCAAGGGGCUGAAGAGGACCAGCAUCGUCAGGAAGAGAUGGAGAUGAUGAGCCCAAGGCCCAGUGAUGAAUGUGUAGAGAGGAUGGUGUUUGGAAAUAAAAUCCCAUCUCCUACUGGAUUCAGUCUUCGCAAGAGCCCGGUCACUUCCCCCACCUUCCCAACUUCCACCAGAUUUCCAGCUAACAACAACUUGGGAGAAACUGACAACUUUCAGAAGGAGUGUGAAAUUUUCCUCUUUGUUAAGGUAAG